rnacentral:rRNA from 1 species
UGGGGAAUUUUGGACAAUGGGCGAAAGCCUGAUCCAGCCAUGCCGCGUGAGUGAAGAAGGCCUUCGGGUUGUAAAGCUCUUUUAGUCGGAAAGAAAGAGUUGCAAUGAAUAAUUGUGAUUUAUGACGGUACCGACAGAAAAAGCCCCGGCUAACUACGUGCCAGCAGCCGCGGUAAUACGUAGGGGGCAAGCGUUGUCCGGAUUUACUGGGUGGAAAGGGCGCGCAGGCGGGAUAAAAAGUCAGUGGUGAAAUCCUACAGCUUAACUGUAGAACUGCCUUUGNUACUUUUAUUCUUGAGUUCGGGAGAGAGAGACGGAAUUCCAGGUGUAGUGGUGAAAUACGUAGAUAUCUGGAAGAACACCAGUUGCGAAGGCGGUCUCUUGGUCCGACACUGACGCUGAGGCGCGAAAGCGUGGGGAGCAAACA